UUGGCCUUCUGAUGUUAUGGAAGGCCCUCCUUCUUCCCGCCCCAGUGAUUGGCCUUCUGAUGUUAUGGAAGGCCCUCCUUCUUCCCGCCCCAGUGAUUGGCCAUCUGAUGUUAUGGAAGGCCCUCCUUCUUCCCGCCCCAGUGAUUGGCCUUCUGCGUUUGAACAGCAUUUCUUUCUCUUCUUUCCCAAUGCUCUCCUCCCCUCCUGUCUGGGCCCAGCUAAUCUCCAGAACAGGGAGGAAUCCAACUUGAUUGAACUUCCGCACAAAGAUUAUUAUUAUUAUUCCAAUGCAAUUAUUUGCACUAAAGGGCUGCUGACUCGCUGGUCCUGGGGCUGGCUGAGGGCCAAUCUCAUCCUCUUCUACCAACUCACUGUCAGACUCUGAAUUGACAGAGGCAUGAUCCUCAUAUUCGGGAAAAUUCUUCAUCUUCCAAAGUGGAAGACGUACCUUCCACACCAGCUUCUCUCUCUACAAAAAUGAUUUCUAAGUCCCUCUGAGCAGAGAUGAUUUUGAUGAACGGAUAUCAGAACUGUCAGGCAAACUGACAUUCUGAUCUGACCAGCCAUUCCCACCAUCAGCUAGUCCGCAUGCAUCACCCUUAAUAUCAGAGGCAAAUGCAGCAUCCUACAAGGCUUGCAGCUCUACCUCCACUUACUGCAAGGGGAUUGAGCAAUGCCUGCUAAAGUGGGUUAAAAUGACUAAUAAUUAGAAACAUAAUAGAAUGGUAAACAAAUGUAAAACUGAAAGUAAGAUUCAAGUAGAUCUGACGAAUAAUAACAGUUUGGGAAUUGAUCAAAUGAAGUUGGACAUAAGCCAUUUUGCUGGACUUAAUAUAUGAGUGUUUGUGAAACAGCAUAAGUUAAGUAGGUAUACCGUAUACUAUUCAUAAGAAUACCUCAUGUUUGAAAUACUCAAACUGAUGCAAAUAGUUGUUAUAUUUUAAAAGUAGAACUAGCACAAUAUUUUGUACAAUGUAUGUGCACAUGUUUUUAUGAAAAGUUGUGUGUACAUUAGCGUGUGUGCAUGUGAGCUUGCAUGUUCAUGUGUACGAGUGUGUAUAUUUAUUUGUGUAUGUGUGUGUGUGUGUGUGUGUGAGGGGGGGGGGCAGUAGGUUCAUCCUGUAGGCUGUGAAUGUUCAUGACACACAGCACUCAUGGGACGGGCUGUCAAGCAUGACGGGACGGGCUGUCAAGCAUGACUAAGCACAUUCUGUGAGUGUGUGCUUGAUCUGUGUGUGUGUGUUUUGAGUGUGUGUGUGUGUUCUGUGUGUGUGUGUGUGUGUGUGUUCUUUGCAUGCGUGAGUGUGUGUGUGUGUGUGAAUAUCAACCUGAGACCUCCACAUCCAUGACUUUACCACAGUGACUGGAUAAAAGAUGAUGCCUCGAUCAUCAUUGAACUGUCAAGGCUGCUUAUUCAGUGGCGUUCAAUCAUAUCACUGCAGAUAGAAAUGCAAUAUAUAGAGUUGACACUGUUUUCUAUUUUCCAUCACAGAGAAGCAUGUCUGGUCUACAAACAAACAUCUCAAUCUGAACUUACUCUCUCUCCUGUAUACACCUCUAAUGAGGAUGUUUUCAGCUGUACUUCUGUAACAGAAUGUACUGACUGCUGAUUCCUUACACUACUUUCUCAUCUUUCUUUGUUUUCCAGAGAGAGGUAGGUUGCAACCCAAAUGGCCCCCUAUUCCAGAGGUCAAAAGUAACACACUAUUUUUUAAACCACAUCUCUCUACCAUCGCUCCAUGGUGUAUACAGAGAAUGAGUAAUAACAGUCUUUACUCAACAAAACAACAAAAUAUUCCACGCAGGGAAACUAUACCAGCUCACAAAUAUAAGAGACCGCUUAACACAGAACAAAGACGCACAAAACCAUGGAGGGUUAAAUAAGGAACAUAAUUAUGGGAAUGGAAACCAGGUGUGUACAAUGAAGACAAAACAAAUGGAAAAUGAAAAGUGGAUCGGUGACUGCUAGAAAACCGGUGACGUCAACCGGCGAACGCCGAACAAGGAGAGGGACCAACUUCGGCGGAAGUCAUGACACCCACUCUUCAUCUUUCUCCAUCUCUCUGCAUCUCUAAGAAACGAUUACAAUUGCACCAUUCAUGGUCGUAUUCACACACAACAGUAAAUAUACAUUAUCUCUCACAUGCAGUUCAGCUACCUCUAUUACUGCAGCUCACCUAUUUAUAGGCCCCAACUGGUAGAAUGUACUGUAUGUCUCAAUCUCUCUCUGUUAGAUGUAAGCUUACUAAGUUAGAGAACAUUACUGCUAAAGACGAGAUGGUCACACGGAGCCACUGCUGGGAUUUCAACAUGGGAUCUCCUGUUUACUAUUCUAAGCAGAUGGUAAUAUAUUCCACUAAUGUCUUAUCAGAAUCAUGUUAGAUGAAUAAAUGAUAUCUUU